GCAGCAGCACCCGUUCUUCUCUGGAUACUCCCUUCACCCUGGCCAAAAAGGCUAAAAUGACCAAAGAAAAAGUGGACGAAAUUCAUAGGGCAGUGACAAAAUUUAUAGUCAAAGAUCUCCAUCCAUUUUCAACGGUGGAGUCACCAUCAUUCAGGGAGAUGUCCACUGCCCUUAAUCCAAGGUAUCAGCCCCCAUCGAGGGAUGAUCUAUCCAACACACUUGUACCUGCUUGGUAUUGCGUGGAGAAAAGCAACCUCAUCCAGAAUUUGGCACAGGUUAACAAGGUCGCUAUCACCUGUGAUGGAUGGACCAGUAUUGCUCAGGACCAUUUCCUCACAGUGACUGUUCACUACAUCUACAAAGGCAAAAUGAAGCAGAAUGUGCUUAGCACUGAAGCAGUUUAUGAGUCACAAACAGGUCCAGUUGUCGCUAAAGAAAUAUCAAGUGUUGUGGAGCAAUUUCACUUGGGAGGGAAAAUAAUUGCUGGCACUGUAGACAAUGCCUGCAACAUGGAUGUUGCUUUGAAAAAAUUGGACUUUUUAAAAGUGGGAUGCUUUGCUCAUA